rnacentral:rRNA from 1 species
AUUGAACGCUGGCGGUAGGCCUAACACAUGCAAGUCGAACGGCUGCACAGUACUUGCUUGCUCUUUCGGCUGCCGAGUGGCGGACGGUUGCUGAAUAUCUCCGUAUCUACUUUUUCUUAGGUGCUAACGUAGGCACUCUUACCCUAUUACCGCAUACGACCUACGGGUGAGAGCUUCGGAUCUUCCGCUCUCACGUGAUUCAAUGUGCCGAUGUCUGAUUAGUUAGUUGGCGGGGUAAAGGCCCACCAAGGCGACGAUCCGUAGCUGGUCUGAGAGGAUGAUCAGCCACACUGGAACUGAGACACGGUCCAGACUCCUACGGGAGGCAGCAGUGGGGAAUAUUGGACAAAGGGCGCAAGCCUGAUCCAGCCAUACCGCGUGGGUGAAGAAGGCCUUCGGGUUGUAAAGCCCUUUUGUUGGGAAAGAAAAGCAGCAGGUUAAUACCCCGCUGUUCUGACGGUACCAAAAGAAUAAGCACCGGCUAACUUCGUG